GCAUCCGUAGCUCAGCUGGAUAGAGCACUCGGCUACGAACCGAGCGGUCGGAGGUUCGAAUCCUCCCGGAUGCACCA
rnacentral:tRNA from 4 species